AAUUUAUCCUUUUAAUCUUCCCCACAACGCAAACCCUAUGUUUUCUCAUUCCUCUCUUCUCUUACUCCUCCCACCUCUGGCUUUUCUUUCUAUAGUUUUUCUAUUUUUCUACCCAUCUAAAUCAUUUAAGAUUUCCUAGUCCUUUUGGCAAUCAAUGAACGGUGAAGAUAAUAGCAGCAAUCAAGAGGAAACAAAAAGAUGGACACAGACAUUACAACAUUGAUGAUGCCCGAUUAACCAGUUAUAGAUCGAAAUCCCUGCCUUACCACUAUCGUCUGCAUCUCCAUCACUGAAGUAGCAACAAUAAAUGUGAUCCUCAAUGAACAAGAGCUCGGAGUGAGAACUUGAAGAGAAUAAAAAAAGGCAGCCUGAUGCACUAAGCUCCCGCGCACGGAGAAGGGCCGGACCACAAGGGUCUAUUGUGCGCACUUUUUACCUGAAGAGAAUCAAGUUUCAUUUGGAUCUACAAUCCACAUAUGCAUGGCUGCAGAAUUAGUGUCCAACUUAUGCAACUUGUUGGUUCAUCAAGAACCGUCCAUGCUGGUUUAGACUUAUCAGGAUACACCAUGAAUGAUGACCUGGUAUCAUCUGAUUCAAGAUAGAAAGUUGAUUGAGAACCAUAAUAGAUUGUUUGUUCUAUCACAUCUAAUAAUGAUGUCCUUAAAGAGUUAGAGGUUGGAAUUAGGCUUGUCAGAUUGAGAACUACUGAUAUUGGAUUCAAAUGAUGUAUUUUUUCUUUUAUAUUGUUGACACAACUUUUUUUUAUAUUAUCGAUUUAAUGAUACAUAUUGUACUUUAUAAAAUGAA